CCUACGGGGGGCAGCAGUGGGGAAUCUUGCGCAAUGGGCGAAAGCCUGACGCAGCAACGCCGCGUGCGGGAUGACGGCCUUCGGGUUGUAAACCGCUUUCAGCAGGGACGCGGUACCUGCAGAAGAAGCCCCGGCCAACUACGUGCCAGCAGCCGCGGUAAUACGUAGGGGGCGAGCGUUGUCCGGAUUCAUUGGGCGUAAAGCGCUUUAAGGCGGUUCGUUAAGUCGCGUGUGAAAACUCCAGGCUCAACCUGGAGACGCCACGUGAUACUGGCGGACUAGAGUUCGGUAGGGGAUCACGGAAUUCCUGGUGUAGCGGUGAAAUGCGCAGAUAUCAGGAGGAACACCGGUGGCGAAGGCGGUGAUCUGGGCGAACUGACGCUGUAGAGCGAAAGCGUGGGGAGCAACAGGAUUAGAUACCCUUGUAGUC
rnacentral:rRNA from 1 species